rnacentral:rRNA from 1 species
UGGGGAAUAUUGGACAAUGGGCGAAAGCCUGAUCCAGCCAUGCCGCGUGUGUGAAGAAGGUCUUCGGAUUGUAAAGCACUUUAAGUUGGGAGGAAGGGCAUUAACCUAAUACGUUAGUGUUUUGACGUUACCGACAGAAUAAGCACCGGCUAACUCUGUGCCAGCAGCCGCGGUAAUACAGAGGGUGCAAGCGUUAAUCGGAAUUACUGGGCGUAAAGCGCGCGUAGGUGGUUUGUUAAGUUGGAUGUGAAAUCCCCGGGCUCAACCUGGGAACUGCAUUCAAAACUGACUGACUAGAGUAUGGUAGAGGGUGGUGGAAUUUCCUGUAUAGCGGUGAAAUGCGUAGAUAUAGGAAGGAACACCAGUGGCGAAGGCGACCACCUGGACUAAUACUGACACUGAGGUGCGAAAGCGUGGGGAGCAAACA